rnacentral:rRNA from 1 species
UACGUAGGGGGCAAGCGUUGUCCGGAAUUAUUGGGCGUAAAGCGCGCGCAGGCGGUCAUUUAAGUCUGGUGUUUAAGCCCGGGGCUCAACCCCGGAUCGCACGGGAAACUGGAUGACUUGAGUGCAGAAGAGGAGAGUGGAAUUCCACGUGUAGCGGUGAAAUGCGUAGAGAUGUGGAGGAACACCAGUGGCGAAGGCGACUCUCUGGGCUGUAACUGACGCUGAGGCGCGAAAGCGUGGGGAGCAAACAGG